rnacentral:rRNA from 1 species
AAACCAAAGACUGGCGACCGGCGCACGGGUGAGUAACACGUAUCCAACCUGCCUCAUACUCGGGGAUAGCCUUUCGAAAGAAAGAUUAAUAUCCGAUAGCAUAUAUUUCCCGCAUGGGUUUUAUAUUAAAGAAAUUCGGUAUGAGAUGGGGAUGCGUUCCAUUAGUUUGUUGGGGGGUAACGGCCCACCAAGACUACGAUGGAUAGGGGUUCUGAGAGGAAGGUCCCCCACAUUGGAACUGAGACACGGUCCAA